GCGCAACACACUUAGAAUUGUAAGAGGUCCAACUUUUGACUAAGAACCAGAUUUUCAGUCUUGAGGUGUUCUAAUAGUUGGACCUGGGUUUCAGUAGUCAUUGGUGCCUUGGCUGCAGUGUUCCUUGAUUUUGGUCAUGAUUCAUGAAGAUAAAGUGUUAAUGGAAAAGGAAAACGAAAUGUAGGAAGAUUCGAUGAGUGUGAUUUACUGUAUUAUUGUUGCUCAUUGAUCUGAGCACAGUUAAAAUACAAUAGCUGGCUUGAGUUGUUCAAUUUUAAACUUGUACAAGCUUAGGUUAUUUCUAACUUACUGAAGUGACAAAGAUCAAAUUGUUUGUUAGUGAAUUUUACAUCUCAUUUCGACAAGGGUUAUUAAAAUGACAAUUUAAU
rnacentral:misc_RNA from 1 species